CUGAUCGGCCACAUUGGACUGAGACACGGCCCAAAUCCUACGGGGGGUGCAGUAGGAAUCUUCCACAAUGGGCGAAAGCCUGAUGGAGCAACGCCGCGUGUGUGAUGAAGGCUUUCGGGUCGUAAAGCACUGUUGUAUGGGAAGAAAAGUUAAGGUAGGGAAUGACCUUAGCCUGACGGUACCAUACCAGAAAGGGACGGCUAAAUACGUGCCAGCAGCCGCGGUAAUACGUAUGUCCCGAGCGUUAUCCGGAUUUAUUGGGCGUAAAGCGAGCGCAGACGGUUGGUUAAGUCUGAUGUGAAAGCCCGGAGCUCAACUCCGGAAAGGCAUUGGAAACUGGUUAACUUGAGUGCAGUAGAGGUAAGUGGAACUCCAUGUGUAGCGGUGGAAUGCGUAGAUAUAUGGAAGAACACCAGCGGCGAAGGCGGCUUACUGGACUGUAACUGACGUUGAGGCUCGAAAGUGUGGGUAGCAAACAGGAUUAGAUACCCUGGUAGUCCACACCGUAAACGAUGAACACUAGGUGUUAGGAGGUUUCCGCCUCUUAGUGCCGAAGCUAACGCAUUAAGUGUUCCGCCUGGGGAGUACGACCGCAAGGUUGAAACUCAAAGGAAUUGACGGGGACCCGCACAAGCGGUGGAGCAUGUGGUUUAAUUCGAAGCAACGCGAAGAACCUUACCAGGUCUUGACAUCCUUUGAAGCUUUUAGAAAUAGAAGUGUUCUCUUCGGAGACAAAGUGACAGGUGGUGCAUGGUCGUCGUCAGCUCGUGUCGUGAGAUGUUGGGUUAAGUCCCGCAACGAGCGCAACCCUUAUUGUUAGUUGCCAGCAUUCAGAUGGGCACUCUAGCGAGACUGCCGGUGACAAACCGGAGGAAGGCGGGGACGACGUCAGAUCAUCAUGCCCCUUAUGACCUGGGCUACACACGUGCUACAAUGGCGUAUACAACGAGUUGCCAACCUGCGAAGGUGAGCUAAUCUCUUAAAGUACGUCUCAGUUCGGACUGCAGUCUGCAACUCGACUGCACGAAGUCGGAAUCGCUAGUAAUCGCGGAUCAGCACGCCGCGGUGAAUACGUUCCCGGGUCUUGUACACACCGCCCGUCACACCAUGGAAGUUUGUAAUGCCCAAAGCCGGUGGCCUAACCGUAAGGAGGGAACC
rnacentral:rRNA from 1 species